GACGAACGCUGGCGGCGUGCUUAACACAUGCAAGUCGAACGGAAAGGCCCUGCUUGCAGGGUACUCGAGUGGCGAACUGGUGAGUAACACGUGGGUGCUCUGCCCUGUACUUCUGGAUAAGCCUGGGCGACUGGGUCUAUUACCUGAUAGGAGCCACUUUUAGCGUGAUGGUUGGAAAGUUUUUUCGGUGUAGGAUGAGCUCGCGGCCUAUCAGCUUGUUGGUGGGGUAAUGGCCUACCAAGGCGGCGACGGGUAGCCGGCCUGUGAGUGUGGACGGCCACAUUGGGACUGAGAUACGGCCCAGACGCCGACGGGAGGAAGAAGUGGGGAAGAUUGCACAAUGGGCGCAAGCCUGAUGCAGCGAGGACGCGUGGGGGAUGACGGCCUUCGGGUUGUAAAAUAGUUUCGCGAGGGACGAAGCUUUUUGUGACGGUACCUAGAUAAGAAGCACCGGCUAACUACGUG
rnacentral:rRNA from 1 species